UUGGGAAUAUUGCACAAUGGGGGAAACCCUGAUGCAGCGACGCCGCGUGAGCGAAGAAGGUUUUCGAAUCGUAAAGCUCUGUCCUAUGAGAAGAUAAUGACGGUAUCAUAGGAGGAAGCCCCGGCUAAAUACGUGCCAGCAGCCGCGGUAAUACGUAUGGGGCGAGCGUUGUCCGGAAUUAUUGGGCGUAAAGGGUACGUAGGCGGUCUAUUAAGUCAGGUGUGAAAGCGUGAGGCUUAACCUCAUUAAGCACUUGAAACUGAUAGACUUGAGUGAAGGAGAGGAAAGUGGAAUUCCUAGUGUAGCGGUGAAAUGCGUAGAUAUUAGGAGGAAUACCGGUGGCGAAGGCGACUUUCUGGACUUUUACUGACGCUCAGGUACGAAAGCGUGGGGAGCAAACAGG
rnacentral:rRNA from 1 species